rnacentral:rRNA from 1 species
UACAGAGGGCUCAAGCGUUGUUCGGAUUCAUUGGGCGUAAAGGGUGCGUAGGCGGUGUGGUAAGUCUGAUGUGAAAUCCCGGGGCUUAACUCCGAAACUGCAUUCGAUACUGCCGUGCUUGAGGACUGGAGAGGAGACUGGAAUUUACGGUGUAGCGGUGAAAUGCGUAGAUAUCGUAAGGAAGACCAGUGGCGAAGGCGGGUCUCUGGACAGUUCCUGACGCUGAGGCACGAAGGCCAGGGGAGCAAACGGG